rnacentral:rRNA from 1 species
CGGACGGGUGAGUAAUGUAUGGGGAUCUGCCUGAUGGCGGGGGAUAACUACUGGAAACGGUAGCUAAUACCGCAUAAUGUCUACGGACCAAAGCGGGGGACCUUCGGGCCUCGCGCCAUCAGAUGAACCCAUAUGGGAUUAGCUUGUAGGUGAGGUAACGGCUUACCUAGGCGACGAUCCCUAGCUGGUCUGAGAGGAUGACCAGCCACACUGGAACUGAGACACGGUCCAG